CGGAGCCAGCCAUACUAAGGAGAGCUUAAGUUUGACCAGGUACCAAAGCAAAUCAUUCGUACCGUACAAAUAAUGUAAAUAUGACGGUGCAUCACGAAAGAUUGAUAUGAAACUGAUCACUUGACCAAUAUUACGUUACUUGCUCUUCAAGUGAAUCAACAAAUGGCAAAAUGAAAAGCCGAACAAAUGCUAUUUUUUUUAGAGAGUCUUAGCUUACGUGUGUUUAUUUCAUAUUUUCAGUUCUUACCCUCCCCGACUAAAUCGGUUUCAGUUAUGUACUGAAAUAUAAGAAUGGACAUAAGGAGCUUCUUUCAAAGAAAAAACUCAGCACAAAGAGGGAGAGAGAGAGGAACAGAGAGGGAGAGAGAGGAGAAUGAGGACAGAACAGAUGAACAAGAGCAGGUCACGAGCAGUUGUCCAAGCAUUUCACUACAUAUCGUACUGUGUAUGACUGUGUACGUGACAAAUAAAAUUUAAAAUUUGAAUUUGAAUUUGAAUUUGAAUUUGAAUGAUUCAGAGGUCAGUGUGAAGUGAUUCAACAAAUAGCAGAAAUAUUCCUCUGAGAGGGGUCAACAAACAGGCUCUAUGUAUACCUGCAAGUUGGUGCAGUGAUUUCGACCUCUUACAUCUAUGCAAUGAAACAGCUGUGAUGUUUUCCCCUUUCGUUGCAUAUUUUUAGUCCUUGUGAACUAUUUGUACCUCCCAUUUUCUCUCUUUUCCUACAUCUUUGCUGUUUCUGCUGAGCUAUACUGUUUUCAUCAUAUAUUUGCGUUUCUUGUUGGCCACUUUUUGUCACCAGUUUUCCACACAGUGUACUCUUUUUUGCACUGUUUUCAUCUCAUGUC
ensembl:lncRNA